GACGUAGUCUCCCGCUCAUGCGGAGGCGAACCACUAUACAUCUUGUGUCAAUCUCUCUCUCUCUCUCUCUCUCUUACUUAUCGUUAAUUAGAUCCCCAACGGAUCCAAAGCAUUAACAUUGGCGCCGUCUGUGGGAAGCCAACACAAAGGCUUCGUCACCUACCACGAACUUUGACCCGAAAAUGUCGAGUCGACGCUCAUUUAACAUCAAAUUGGGGCCGGUCAACGCCCGGCGGAGCCGGUCAACGCCCGGCGGAGUCGGUCAACGCCCGGCGGGGUCGGUCAACGCCCAUCAAGGCUUGAUCAACUUUUGGUCAACGCCCAACUCAAAAAAGGUCAACGCUAAACUAUUCACUUGGUCAACGCCAACUACAAAAAAAAAAAAAAAAAAAAAAAAUUUUGGUGCAAAUCUUCUCUGGACACCCAGAGGUCUACUUUGGACACUAGCAUUCUUCAGUCACCAUCAGCACCUCCGUUGGACUGUACACCGCCAGACUUCAGUUCCGCCGAACUCAUGUUCCGCUGAACUUCAGCUUCGGCUGGACACCAACGCUUCGCUGAACUUCGAGCUCUCCGCUCCGCCAGUCAACACUGCUAGCUAGCUCCUUCACUGCUUUGCUCAACUGCUCCGCUAGAGCACCAGCAGCGGCACUUUUUCCGCUAGCCAACCUCCGAUCUGCUAGCGAGCCAAGCCUCCGCCAAACAUCCGCUAGCAUAUUCCUCCGCUAGAGCCUACCAGCAAGCACGACCACCAAUCUUUUAAACUUCACCGGCAAGGCUUUCUCCGCCAAAACUUCACCGCUGACCAAAGCUUCACGGAGAAAGCACCGCUACCAAGCCAAGCCUCAUUUGGACACCAAGAGUACCGCCGACCGGCUCCGCUGGUCACAGUCGCUGCUCAACCACUGCUGGACGUCCUCCUCUGGACAGCUCCGCCCAACUCCGAGGCUCCGCUCCAUCGGACUAUCUCCGCUAGCUAAGAGCCUUUCCGCUUACCAAAGCCUAGCGGCCACUACCCGCCAGCGCUAGCAUCAAGCUCCAUCGGUGCGCUGCAAUCACAGCCACCACCAUAGCUUACCACACCCAGAAAACUACUCUGGGCACCAUGGUAACUCCACCAUUACCGCUGAACAAUGAUCUGUUCAUCACCACCGCCGACCAAAGCUGCCACCGCUAGCCAACCUCUGCCGGAAAAUCUUCCGCCACACUAUACUCCGCUGAACCCCAGCUCCUCAGUGAUGGCAGCAGUGUUGCAAGUCGGCGAUCAUCAACAAUAUAUCAUCGAGCAAAGUUCCAGCCGACUCUCCGCCGAGCUGCAGCACCGCUACGAGACAUUAGCGGUAAAACCUCCGCCAGCCAGUCGCCGCUGGCCAAAUCAUCCGCUGGCCAACCCCAGCCACCGAUUGAGCUCCGCUGACCGCUAGCCCUCCACCGCUGAAAAUUCAUCCACUGGCCAAAGGGCUCUGCUCCGCUGAUAUGCACCUCUGGCCAAAGCAAGCCUCUGCUACCGCCUGCCAGGGAUCAGCUGCCCAAGCUCCGCCACCCAACCUCCGCUCCCGGUCUCCUCACCUAAACGUUGAUCAGCGCCUGGAGC
rnacentral:lncRNA from 1 species